UCACGAAAAAUAUUUUUUUUUAAGCCAUACAUAAAAAAAUUACAUGAUAAAUGAGAAAUAUAUUAUGAAUACAAAUACUUAAUGGAAAAAACACUACUAACAAUGUGCCAAAGAAAAAAAAAACUAUCUUAAGAACAACAAAAAAAAUAAAGAAUGACUUAACAAAAUAGUUUGCAUUCUACUUCUUAUACACUAAAUCUAAACAUCUCAUUAUCUCAAAGCCUUUUGCAAUGCUUCAUAACGUGGCUCUUCUUUGUAUGAGUUACCAUUUUUACUUACUUCGUCCCUCGAUCUGAAAUAAAACGCAAUAGAAUAUAUAAAAAUCAAAACUUCACAUAAUUUGAUAAAAGAAAAUAAAUAUAAAGACAAUAAAG
rnacentral:lncRNA from 1 species